AACGUAGGAGACAAACGUUAUCCGGAGUUACUGGGCGUAAAGGGCGUGUAGGUGGUUUCGUAAGUCUGGCGUGAAAUUUUUCGGCUUAACCGGGAAAGGUCGUCGGAUACUGCGGAACUAGAGGACGGUAGAGGCGUGUGGAAUUCCGGGUGUAGUGGUGAAAUGCGUAGAGAUCCGGAGGAACACCAGUGGCGAAGGCAGCUCGCUGGGACGGUACUGACGCUGAGACGCGAAAGCGUGGGGAGCAAACAGG
rnacentral:rRNA from 1 species